GACGAACGCUGGCGGCGUGCUUAACACAUGCAAGUCGAACGGAAAGGCCCUGCUUUUGUGGGGUGCUCGAGUGGCGAACGGGUGAGUAACACGUGAGUAACCUGCCCUUGACUUUGGGAUAACUUCAGGAAACUGGGGCUAAUACCGGAUAGGAGCUCCUGCUGCAUGGUGGGGGUUGGAAAGUUUCGGCGGUUGGGGAUGGACUCGCGGCUUAUCAGCUUGUUGGUGGGGUAGUGGCUUACCAAGGCUUUGACGGGUAGCCGGCCUGAGAGGGUGACCGGCAACAUUGGGACUGAGAGACGGACCAGAAUGCUACGGGAGGCAGCAGUGGGGAAUAUUGCACAAUGGGAGGAAGCCUGAUGCAGCAACGCAGCGUGCGGGAUGACGGCCUUCGGGUUGUAAACCGCUUUCGCCUGUGACGAAGCGUGAGUGACGGUAAUGGGUAAAGAAGCACCGGCUAACUACGUG
rnacentral:rRNA from 1 species